GUUGGAGUAGUAAAGAUUUAAUACGUCGGAUUUAAAAUCCGGAGGCGGGGGGUGCCCCCUUUAACA
rnacentral:tRNA from 1 species